rnacentral:misc_RNA from 1 species
CCUGACCUGCCUCCAUUAUACUACUCCGACUUACCAACUUUUCUCAGGUUGCCUGAGAGCUACCCAGCUUAUUUGGCUAUGAAAUUGAGUCAGUUUUCUAACUUGGACAUGGCUGACUGGAUUUUUGCAAACACCUUUGAAGAGUUAGAAGGCAAGGAGGCAGGAGGCAUAUCAAAGCUUUGGCCGGCGAAGUUGAUCGGUCCGAUGGUGCCAUCUUCCUACUUGGAUGGGCGGAUUGAAGGAGAUAAAGGAUAUGGAGCAAGUCUAUGGAAUCCACUUGGGGAAGAGUGUCUGAGAUGGCUAGAAACAAAGGCAACUCAAUCAGUGGUGUACGUAUCUUUUGGAAGCAUGGUUUCCUUAACGGUAAAACAGAUGGAAGAACUUGCGUGGGGGUUGAAAGAAAGCAAUUUAAACUUCUUAUUGGUUGUGAGAGAAUCAGAAAUGCAUAAACUGCCAACUGGGUUCAUUGACUCAAUAAAUGACAAGGGUCUAAUAGUGACAUGGUGCAACCAGCUUGAAAUGCUGGCACACAAAACCAUAGGCUGCUUCGUGACGCAUUGUGGGUGGAAUUCGACCCUUGAAGCUCUGAGCCUUGGCGUACCAAUGGUGUGCAUACCACAAUGGACAGACCAAGUGCCCAAUGCCAAGUUUGUGGAAGAUGUUUGGAAAGUGGGGAUUAGAGCUAAGGAGGAUGAGAAAGGAGUUGUGAGGAAACAAGAAGUGGUUAGAUGUUUGAAGGAAGUAAUGGAAGGAAAGAAAAGCUAUGAGAUCAAGAAGAAUGCAAGAAAAUGGAGGCAGGUGGCUGGAAAAACAGUCGGUGAAGGAGGGAGCUCUGAUAAGCAUAUUAAUGAUUUUGUAGCUAGAGCACUUGGAGCUUGCAAAUAAGAAAGGAGAGGCCAAGGUUUUGAAUGGCUAUAAUUAUUAGACUCAGAUUUCACCUAUAUCUCUUGGGUUUGAGCAUAUUCCGUACAUUAAUCUAGAAAAAUUCAUCGAUUUCACCGUUAUAUGUGUGUGCUCUGUUCUCGUCUUCCUUUUUCAUAUUCUGGUCGUUGUAUUAUGAAUUUCAAUGUUUAUUGUU